rnacentral:rRNA from 1 species
GCGGCAACAGCUCAAAUUUGAAAUCUGGCGUCUUUGGCGUCCGAGUUGUAAUUUGCAGAGGGCGCUUUGGCAUUGGCAGCGGUCCAAGUUCCUUGGAACAGGACGUCACAGAGGGUGAGAAUGCCGUACGUGGUCGCUAGCCUUUACCGUGUAAAGCCCCUUCGACGAGUCGAGUUGUUUGGGAAUGCAGCUCUAAAUGGGAGGUAAAUUUCUUCUAAAGCUAAAUACUGGCCAGAGACCGAUAGCGCACAAGUAGAGUGAUCGAAAGAUGAAAAGCACUUUGGAAAGAGAGUUAAAAAGCACGUGAAAUUGUUGAAAGGGAAGCGCUUGCAGCCAGACUUGCCUGUAGUUGCUCAUCCGGGUUUUUACCCGGUGCACUCUUCUAUAGGCAGGCCAGCAUCAGUUUGGGCGGUUGGAUAAAGGUCUCUGUCAUGUACCUCUCUUCGGGGAGAACUUAUAGGGGAGACGACAUGCAACCAGCCUGGACUGAGGUCCGCGCAUCUGCUAGGAUGCUGGCGUAAUGGCUGUAAGCGGCCCGUCUUGAAACACGGACCAAGGAGUCUAACAUCUAUGCGAGUGUUUGGGUGUCAAGCCCGAGCGCGUAAUGAAAGUGAACGGAGGUGGGAACCUUUCGGGGUGCACCAUCGACCGAUCCUGAUGUCUUCGGAUGGAUUUGAGUAAGAGCAUAGCUGUUGGGACCCGAAAGAUGGUGAACUAUGCUUGAAUAGGGUGAAGCCAGAGGAAACUCUGGUGGAGGCUCGCAGCGGUUCUGACGUGCAAAUCGAUCGU